GACGAACGCUGGCGGCGUGCUUAACACAUGCAAGUCGAACGAAGUGGCGAACGGGUGAGUAACGCGUAAUCAACCUGCCCUUCAGAGGGGGACAACAGUUGGAAACGACGGCUAAUACCGCAUACUGAAGGAGGGGAUUGCGUCUGAUUAGCUAGUUGGAGGGGUAACGGCCCACCAAGGCGAUGAUCAGUAGCCGGUCUGGGGGGGAGAACGGCCACAUUGGGACUGGGACACGGGCCAGACUCCUACGGGAGGGAGCAGUGGGGAAACUUCGGAAAUGGGGCACAGGCUGGAGGAGCAACGGCGCGUGAGUGAUGACGGCCUUCGGGUUGUAAAGGUCUGUUAAUCGGGACGCGGUACCGGAAGAGAAAGCAACGGCUAACUACGUGCCAGCAGCCGCGGUAAUUC
rnacentral:rRNA from 1 species